UUGAACGCUGGCGGCAUGCCUUACACAUGCAAGUCGAACGGCAGCACGGGUGCUUGCACCUGGUGGCGAGUGGCGAACGGGUGAGUAAUACAUCGGAACAUGUCCUGUAGUGGGGGAUAGCCCGGCGAAAGCCGGAUUAAUACCGCAUACGAUCUACGGAUGAAAGCGGGGGACCUUCGGGCCUCGCGCUAUAGGGUUGGCCGAUGGCUGAUUAGCUAGUUGGUGGGGUAAAGGCCUACCAAGGCGACGAUCAGUAGCUGGUCUGAGAGGACGACCAGCCACACUGGGACUGAGACACGGCCCAGACUCCUACGGGAGGCAGCAGUGGGGAAUUUUGGACAAUGGGCGAAAGCCUGAUCCAGCAAUGCCGCGUGUGUGAAGAAGGCCUUCGGGUUGUAAAGCACUUUUGUCCGGAAAGAAAUCCUUGGCUCUAAUACAGUCGGGGGAUGACGGUACCGGAAGAAUAAGCACCGGCUAACUACG
rnacentral:rRNA from 1 species